GAUUCCAGGCCGAUUUGUGCUAGAAGUAGAGGAUUUGCUGUGGGUGCAGAGGAUUAGCACAAUAAGAGGAUCAGCGGAUUUAUGAGGACUCCAAAAUAAAACUUCUAAUUUUUGAGAUUUGAGUGUUUCUAAAGGAAGAAAGAAAUAUUUCUAAAUUUUCCAAAAUUAUUGAACUCAGUAGCAGAGAAGUACGCACUGGAGUGUUGUCAGAGCAAAACCCACAUCCACUUUCAUUCAGGAGGAACAUUUUGAAGUUACGAACUGCAGCACCGAGGAGUUGAAAAGGCUCUCCUAGGAUUCCAAGUGACUUAACAUUAUCGUUGAAUGCAUCGCCAGUACAAUGCAGUGUGUAAUAAAAUUCCCAGUGAGUGGAGAGUUAAUAACAUCCUUUAAUAUGGAAUUUGGACAAGUUGCCAUCAUGGUUAAUGAGAGUAUUAAGUCUGAACUUGAUUCUUCUAUUUGCAGGUAUUUGUUCUGAGGGGAAAUUUAUGUUGUGUGAAAAGAAUUUUUGAAUAUAUGUACUGAAAUCUAUCUUUAUUGAAGUCUACUCGCUUAUCUGGUACUUACAGGGUGUUAGAAAGCAUCCUUCUCCUGUUACUACAAGCCUGCUUUUAUUGCAUCCUGCCAA
rnacentral:lncRNA from 1 species